UACAGAGGUCCCAAGCGUUGUUCGGAUUCAUUGGGCGUAAAGGGUGCGUAGGCGGCGCGGUAAGUCGGGUGUGAAAUCUCGGAGCUUAACUCCGAAACUGCAUUCGAUACUGCCGUGCUUGAGGACUGGAGAGGAGACUGGAAUUUACGGUGUAGCGGUGAAAUGCGUAGAUAUCGUAAGGAAGACCAGUGGCGAAGGCGGGUCUCUGGACAGUACCUGACGCUGAGGCACGAAAGCCAGGGGAGCAAACGGG
rnacentral:rRNA from 1 species